rnacentral:misc_RNA from 1 species
UUUCCGUAGGUGAACCUGCGGAAGGAUCAUUAUUGUAUAACCGAGGUGCGAGGGCUGUCGCUGACCCGAAAGGUCGUGCACGCCCGAGUGCCCUCACACACAUCCAUCUCACCCCUAUGUGCACCACCGCGUGGGUCCCCCUUUGGCUUGUUCGGAGGGGGGCUUACGUUUUCACACAAACUUUGUAUGCAGUGUAGAAUGUAUUUUUUGUUUUUGCGAUCACGCAAUCAAUACAACUUUCAACAACGGAUCUCUUGGCUCUCGCAUCGAUGAGCAGC